ACGGAAGGCAGCAGUGGGGAAUAUUGGACAAUGGGGGAAGCCCUGAUCCAGCGACGCCGCGUGAGUGAAGGAGUAUUUCGGUAUGUAAAGCUCUAUCAGCAAGGAAGAAAAUGACGGUACUUGACUAAGAAGCUCCGGCUAAAUACGUGCCAGCAGCCGCGGUAAUACGUAUGGAGCAAGCGUUAUCCGGAUUUACUGGGUGUAAAGGGAGCGUAGACGGCAAAGCAAGUCUGAAGUGAAAUCCCGGGGCUCAACCCCGGAACUGCUUUGGAAACUGUUUAGCUAGAGUGCAGGAGAGGUAAGCGGAAUUCCUAGUGUAGCGGUGAAAUGCGUAGAUAUUAGGAGGAACACCAGUGGCGAAGGCGGCUUACUGGACUGUAACUGACGUUGAGGCUCGAAAGCGUGGGGAGCAAACAGGAUUAGAUACCCUGGUA
rnacentral:rRNA from 1 species